GACGAACGCUGGCGGCGCGCUUAAUACAUGCAAGUCGAGCGAGAACCAGAGCUUCGGCUCUGGGGACAGCGGCGAACGGGUGAGUAUCACGUGAGUAAUCUGCCCUCGGCACCGGGAUAGCCCGGGGAAACCCGGAUUAAUACCGGAUGGCCUCUCGAGCCCUCGGGCUCGUGAGAAAAGGUAGCUUCGGCCUCCGGCCGGGGAGGAGCUGGCGGCGGAUUAGCUUGUUGGUGGGGGAACGGCUCACCAAGGCGACGAUCCGUAGCUGGUCUGAGAGGACGAUCAGCCACACUGGGACUGAGACACGGCCCAGACUCCUACGGGAGGCAGCAGUAGGGGAUCUUGCGCAAUGGGCGAAAGCCUGACGCAGCGACGCCGCGUGCGGGAAGAAGGCCUUCGGGUUGUAAACCGCUUUCAGGAGGGAUGAAGCCACUCGGGUUAAUAGCCCAGAGGGUGACGGUACCUCCAGAAGAAGCCCCGGCUAACUACGUGCCAGCCGCCGCAGUAAUAC
rnacentral:rRNA from 1 species